UCCGGAGGGUGCGAGCGUUGUUCGGAAUUACUGGGCGUAAAGCGCGUGUAGGCGGCCUUCUAAGUCUGGUGUGAAAGCCCGGGGCUCAACCCCGGAAGUGCAUUGGAUACUGGGAGGCUGGAGUACCGGAGAGGAGGGUGGAAUUCCUGGUGUAGCGGUGAAAUGCGUAGAUAUGUGGAGGAACACCGAUGGCGAAGGCAGCCUCCUGGGCCAGCACUGACGCUCAUGCACGAAAGCGUGGGGAGCAAACAGG
rnacentral:rRNA from 1 species